rnacentral:lncRNA from 1 species
CUGGAGAAACGGUUGGGGCGAUUUGUGAGCAUAGCCGUUGCAAUCUGUUUUUGGUGGGACGAAUGCCUGAGGGGCAGUUAGUUGCAGCCUUGAAAGGAAAUAGCGAGUGCCCCGAGUUGGGGCCGGUGGGUGGCUUAUUGACCUCACCUGAUUUUUCUACCAACGCGUCGGUCUUGGUGGUGCAACAGUACCAUAGCCAAUUGUCCCUGCAUUCGUUGGCUUCGCUGAAGGAGGACGACGCCGAAGAGUUGACCGGAGAGGGAUUCGGAUACCAAUUGAUUGGCUUUUGAUGUUUGUGAUUUGAUACAGAAACAACUCUGUAAUGAAACAAAAUAUAGCCCAGAAGGUUGUAGUACUCUUUUUUUUUUUGCUUCUGUCCACUGAAAGUGGCAGUUGAUAGUUCCAUGAACUUAAGUUGACAAACAAUUGGUUCCUAAAAAAAAUAGGAAACAUACAAAGUAAUUUCAGAGAUCGAAAAAGAUAAAAUUAUUAUUAUAAUCGUAAAAAAAAUUUACUAAGAUAAUAAAGUAAAAAAUAAAGAAGGUACAAAUUAUGUUAAAUACGAAAGGAAAGUAUUUUCAUACAAUCUAUGUUUUUAUAUUUAUUAAAAUUACUUUAUCCAUAAUUGUAAAUAAAAAAUAUUAGUAAAAUAAAUAUUUAAAUAAUUUAUUAAUAAGGACAAAAAAAUCUAUAAUAUAAUACACAUAUUUUUAAAUCUUUCAAACUAACUAUUUAUAUUAUAAAUGAGUAUGCUUAAGAGGUGUGAUUAUUUUUUUUACGUAGUACCCGUAGGCAGAGGCAAUUACUAGUUAUUAAAAAGGGACUUAUUUUUUUUUUUUAGGAAACAUCAAAAUUUUUAAUUCUUAAAAAUUAUUUUUCUCUUAAAAAUGAAUUGAUAUGAAAUCGGUGAGAGUUUUUUUUUUAAUAAGAAAAUUUCUCAAAAUCAUUUUAAAAAACUAAUUCUGAAAAUUACAACUUUCAUAUUUUGUGAAUCUAUGAUGGACAAAGUGGCUUUUGGAUAGUAAAAAUAGGGGGAAUUUCUAAUCUUUUUCAUGUAUUUGAUAAUUUUUAUAAUACCAACUGACUUGUACUAUAGAAAAAAAUCGAUCAAAUUACAAAAUCACUUAACUGUGAGUAACAGUAAAUUUUCUUUUAACCGAACCGAACCGUGAUCACCCCUAAUCUACACCAUUCAAACAACGUUGCUAAUUAUUUAACUUUUUUAUGAUUAUUUCGUAUUUGUUAUAAUAUUUUGCUAAUUAUAAUUUUCAUUAGAAUAUAUGGAUACCAAUUAAAUGAUGUUAAUGCGUUGACUUUUUUAAUGGGAAUAUCCUGAGUGGACCCUUCAACACGUGUAGGGAGGAGGAUUCGGAUCUUUUAUAAUAAAUUAAUUAAUAUUAUUAUUAUUUUAUUAUUUUUUGACUUCAGAUCUUCCAUAAUAAUUGCAACACAGAGAUAAUGUAACUUAUAAAAAACGGGUUUUGAGAUUCAAAAAUUUUGCCACUUUCAAAUUUAGACAAAAAAUAUUUUUUAAAUUUAAAAAUAUAUGAUAUAAAUUCAUUUAUUUAUAUGAUCUCACAUUCAAGUGAAUCUGAACUAUUUAUUUUGAAUUUAAUUUUUUUUAAUUAAUCUAAAUUUAAAAAUCGUAAGACUGCUGUUUGAGAUCGUAAUGCAGCCUCUGUUUUUCUUUGAGCGAAUGUACACUCCACCAGCUAAACGUGAAGCCAUUACUUUCCACAAGCAAAAUAACAAUAAAGAUAGUGCUUGGACGCUUCUGUUUUUUUAAUGUUUUUUUAAGUGUUGUGAACUACCUUUGCCUCAUAGUUUUAUUAAAAUCGACCAAAAUAACCCUUCAAUCGGGAACGCGGUACUAACCACCGGUUUGGUAUAACUAUUUUACAGAAAUACAAGCGAACCAAGCCCGAUUGAACAAGCGGUUGCCGGCCGAUUUUUUAUUAUCGAACCGACCGGUUUUUUAACCCGGUUGAACCGUCCGAUUUUUAACAGAAAAAUUAAAAAAUUUUAAUUUUGUUACAGUUGAUCCCAAAAUUUUGAAUUAAAAUUUAAUGUUUAAAUAGUUUUUUAACUAUGAUUAAUUUGUUACUAGAAUGGGUAAAAUCAAUAUUUUUUUAUAUUUAUAUAAAAAUAUAAUUUUUAAUUAUUUAUUAAUUAUAAAUCCUGUUGAACCGUGGUUGAACCAGUGAACCGUUGAACCGGUGCUUUGACCGAUUUAAUAUCAGGUUCGAUUCUGAUAACUAUGCUUUGCCCCACUUCCCUUUUCAUCACAAUGUCACUUUGCACCCUUCAUUUUUAAUUGGAUUAUCUAACCCUCACACUUUAAAGUCUGCUAGCAAUGAGCCCCUCCACGUACAUUCGACGCCAGAAGUAAUGACAAAAAAGGCCAUGUGACCAUCACAUGCCAAUUUUUAACAACAUUUGUGGGAUUUUACCCACUUUAUCACCCAAAAUAGACGGGAUUUUAUGUGUAUUGUUGUACAUA